GGGUUGUGAGGUUAAGCGACUAAGCGUACACGGUGGAUGCCCUGGCAGUCAGAGGCGAUGAAGGGCGUGCUAAUCUGCGAUAAGCGCCGGUAAGGUGAUAUGAACCGUUAUAACCGGCGAUACCCGAAUGGGGAAACCCAGUGUGAUUCGUCACACUAUCAUUAACUGAAUCCAUAGGUUAAUGAGGCGAACCGGGGGAACUGAAACAUCUAAGUACCCCGAGGAAAAGAAAUCAACCGAGAUUCCCCCAGUAGCGGCGAGCGAACGGGGAGGAGCCCAGAGCCUGAAUCAGCAUGUGUGUUAGUGGAAGCGUCUGGAAAGGCGCGCGAUACAGGGUGACAGCCCCGUACACAAAAGCGCAUGUGCUGUGAGCUCGAUGAGUAGGGCGGGACACGUGGUAUCCUGUCUGAAUAUGGGGGGACCAUCCUCCAAGGCUAAAUACUCCUGACUGACCGAUAGUGAACCAGUACCGUGAGGGAAAGGCGAAAAGAACCCCGGCGAGGGGAGUGAAAAAGAACCUGAAACCGUGUACGUACAAGCAGUGGGAGCACCCUUUUGGGUGUGACUGCGUACCUUUUGUAUAAUGGGUCAGCGACUUAUAUUCUGUAGCAAGGUUAACCGAAUAGGGGAGCCGCAGGGAAACCGAGUCUUAACCGGGCGUUAAGUUGCAGGGUAUAGACCCGAAACCCGGUGAUCUAGCCAUGGGCAGGUUGAAGGUUGGGUAACACUAACUGGAGGACCGAACCGACUAAUGUUGAAAAAUUAGCGGAUGACCUGUGGCUGGGGGUGAAAGGCCAAUCAAACCGGGAGAUAGCUGGUUCUCCCCGAAAGCUAUUUAGGUAGCGCCUCGUGAAUUCAUCUCCGGGGGUAGAGCACUGUUUCGGCUAGGGGGCCAUCCCGGCUUACCAACCCGAUGCAAACUGCGAAUACCGGAGAAUGUUAUCACGGGAGACACACGGCGGGUGCUAACGUCCGUCGUGAAGAGGGAAACAACCCAGACCGCCAGCUAAGGUCCCAAAGUCAUGGUUAAGUGGGAAACGAUGUGGGAAGGCCCAGACAGCCAGGAUGUUGGCUUAGAAGCAGCCAUCAUUUAAAGAAAGCGUAAUAGCUCACUGGUCGAGUCGGCCUGCGCGGAAGAUGUAACGGGGCUAAACCAUGCACCGAAGCUGCGGCAGCGACACUAUGUGUUGUUGGGUAGGGGAGCGUUCUGUAAGCCUGUGAAGGUGUGCUGUGAGGC
rnacentral:rRNA from 1 species